AAACCAACAGGGAUUGCCUUAGUAGCGGCGAGUGAAGCGGCAAAAGCUCAAAUUUGAAAUCUGGCGCCUUCGGUGUCCGAGUUGUAAUUUGAAGAUUGUAACCUUGGGGUUGGCUCUUGUCUAUGUUUCUUGGAACAGGACGUCACAGAGGGUGAGAAUCCCGUGCGAUGAGAUGCCCAAUUCUAUGUAAGGUGCUUUCGAAGAGUCGAGUUGUUUGGGAAUGCAGCUCUAAGUGGGUGGUAAAUUCCAUCUAAAGCUAAAUAUUGGCGAGAGACCGAUAGCGAACAAGUACAGUGAUGGAAAGAUGAAAAGAACUUUGAAAAGAGAGUGAAAAAGUACGUGAAAUUGUUGAAAGGGAAGGGUUUGAGAUCAGACUCGAUAUUUUGUGAGCCUUGCCUUCGUGGCGGGGUGACCCGCAGCUUAUCGGGCCAGCAUCGGUUUGGGCGGUAGGAUAAUGGCGUAGGAAUGUGACUUUACUUCGGUGAAGUGUUAUAGCCUGCGUUGAUGCUGCCUGCCUAGACCGAGGACUGCGAUUAUCAAGGAUGCUGC
rnacentral:rRNA from 1 species